rnacentral:rRNA from 1 species
ACGGAGGGUGCAAGCGUUAAUCGGAAUUACUGGGCGUAAAGCGCACGCAGGCGGUUUGUUAAGUCAGAUGUGAAAUCCCCGGGCUCAACCUGGGAACUGCAUCUGAUACUGGCAAACUUGAGUCUAGUAGAGGGGGGUGGAAUUCCAGGUGUAGCGGUGAAAUGCGUAGAGAUCAGGAGGAACACCAGUGGCGAAGGCGGCCCACUGGACUAAAACUGACGCUCAGGUGCGAAAGCGUGGGGAGCAAACAG